rnacentral:misc_RNA from 1 species
GAUGAAGAACGUAGCGAAAUGCGAUACGUAAUGUGAAUUGCAGAAUUCAGUGAAUCAUCGAAUCUUUGAACGCAUAUUGCGCUCUCUGGUAUUCCGGAGAGCAUGCUUGUUUGAGUAUCAGUAAACACCUCAACUCCCUUUUCUUUUUUGAAAUUGGAGCUGGACUUGAGUGAUCCCAACGCUUUCUUCGAAGAAAGUGGCGGGUUGCUUGAAAUGCAGGUGCAGCUGAACUUUUCUCUGAGCUAUAAGCAUAUCUAUUUAGUCUGCCUAAAAAACAGAUUAUUACCUUUGCUGCAGCUAACAUAAAGGAGACUAGUUCUUGUGCUGACUGAUGCAGGAUUCACAGAGACAGCUUCGGCUGACUUUGUAAACUCGAUCUCAAAUCAAGUAAGACUACCCGCUGAACUUAAGCAUAUCAAUAAGCGGAGGA